rnacentral:rRNA from 1 species
AGUGAACGCUGGCGGUAGGCCUAACACAUGCAAGUCGAACGGCAGCACAGUAAGAGCUUGCUCUUACGGGUGGCGAGUGGCGGACGGGUGAGGAAUACAUCGGAAUCUACUUUUUCGUGGGGGAUAACGUAGGGAAACUUACGCUAAUACCGCAUACGACCUACGGGUGAAAGCAGGGGAUCUUCGGACCCUGCGCGAUUGAAUGAGCCGAUGUCGGAUUAGCUAGUUGGCGGGGUAAAGGCCCACCAAGGCGACGAUCCGUAGCUGGUCUGAGAGGAUGAUCAGCCACACUGGAACUGAGACACGGUCCAGACUCCUACGGGAGGCAGCAGUGGGGAAUAUUGGACAAUGGGCGCAAGCCUGAUCCAGCCAUACCGCGUGGGUGAAGAAGGCCUUCGGGUUGUAAAGCCCUUUUGUUGGGAAAGAAAAGCAGCAGGUUAAUACCCCGCUGUUCCGACGGUACCCAAAGAAUAAGCACCGGCUAACUUCGUG